UGCCUCAGCGUCCUGGAGUCGUCUCGGUUCGCCCUUUUGCGUGCCUUCCACCGCCGCGAGCUCGGAAUGUCUGGCCCCGGGUGCUUCAGGGUCCGAGAACCUGCAGAAGUUCACACUUAAAUCCUACACGAGAGUCGUAUUUAUGAUGCAGAACUCGGUGCAGAACCCGAUGGAGUGCCCAAGGCGCUUGAGCCGUUCCUAGAAGGGGAAGGAGAGCCGCGGGCGGCAGCGGGGCAGGGGACGGAAUUGGGAAGCUUGGGAGCAGGAAGAAGGCCAGAGCUACUUAGGAUGGAGAAACGGAGGCCCAGGGAAGGGAUGUGCCCGAGGUCAUACAAAGAAGUUUGUGGGAAUCCAGGUCUGACUCGCACUCAAUCUAGUGCUCUAAUAAUGACUUGAGUGAAUUGUAUGAAUGUGCUCAGAGGUGGAGCAGCAAUCAUAAAAGUAAUAAUGGUACCAUUUAUGGACCAUCUAACUACUGUGUUAAAACAAUUUACAGGCCAUGCGCGGUGGCUCACGCUUGUAAUCCCAGCACUUUGGGAGGCCGAGGCGGGCAGAUCACGAAGUCAGAAGAUCGAGACCAUCCUGGCUAACACGGUGAAACCCCGUCUUUACUAAAAAUACAAAAAAUUAGCCGGGCUUGGUGGCGGGCGCCUGUAGUUCCAGCUACUCGAGAGGCUGAGGCAGGAGAAUGGCGUGAACCCGGGAGGCGGAGCUUGCAGUGAGCCGAGAUCGAGCCACUGCACUCCAGCCUGGGCAAC
rnacentral:lncRNA from 1 species